rnacentral:rRNA from 1 species
UUAAGUUAUUAAGGGCGCACGGUGGAUGCCUUGGCACUAGAAGCCGAUGAAGGACGUUACUAACGACGAUAUGCUUUGGGGAGCUGUAAGUAAGCUUUGAUCCAGAGAUUUCCGAAUGGGGAAACCCAGCAUGAGUUAUGUCAUGUUAUCGAUAUGUGAAUACAUAGCAUAUCAGAAGGCACACCCGGAGAACUGAAACAUCUUAGUACCCGGAGGAAGAGAAAGAAAAUUCGAUUCCCUUAGUAGCGGCGAGCGAAACGGGAAGAGCCCAAACCAACAAGCUUGCUUGUUGGGGUUGUAGGACACUCUAUACGGAGUUACAAAGGACGACAUUAGACGAAUCAUCUGGAAAGAUGAAUCAAAGAAGGUAAUAAUCCUGUAGUCGAAAAUGUUGUCUCUCUUGAGUGGAUCCUGAGUACGACGGAGCACGUGAAAUUCCGUCGGAAUCUGGGAGGACCAUCUCCUAAGGCUAAAUACUCUCUAGUGACCGAUAGUGAACCAGUACCGUGAGGGAAAGGUGAAAAGCACCCCGGAAGGGGAGUGAAAUAGAACCUGAAACCGUGUGCUUACAAGUAGUCAGAGCCCGUUAAUGGGUGAUGGCGUGCCUUUUGUAGAAUGAACCGGCGAGUUACGAUUUGAUGCAAGGUUAAGCAGUAAAUGUGGAGCCGUAGCGAAAGCGAGUCUGAAUAGGGCGUUUAGUAUUUGGUCGUAGACCCGAAACCAGGUGAUCUACCCUUGGUCAGGUUGAAGUUCAGGUAACACUGAAUGGAGGACCGAACCGACUUACGUUGAAAAGUGAGCGGAUGAACUGAGGGUAGCGGAGAAAUUCCAAUCGAACCUGGAGAUAGCUGGUUCUCUCCGAAAUAGCUUUAGGGCUAGCCUCAAGUGAUGAUUAUUGGAGGUAGAGCACUGUUUGGACGAGGGGCCCCUCUCGGGUUACCGAAUUCAGACAAACUCCGAAUGCCAAUUAAUUUAACUUGGGAGUCAGAACAUGGGUGAUAAGGUCCGUGUUCGAAAGGGAAACAGCCCAGACCACCAGCUAAGGUCCCAAAAUAUAUGUUAAGUGGAAAAGGAUGUGGCGUUGCCCAGACAACUAGGAUGUUGGCUUAGAAGCAGCCAUCAUUUAAAGAGUGCGUAAUAGCUCACUAGUCGAGUGACACUGCGCCGAAAAUGUACCGGGGCUAAACAUAUUACCGAAGCUGUGGAUUGUCCUUUGGACAAUGGUAGGAGAGCGUUCUAAGGGCGUUGAAGCAUGAUCGUAAGGACAUGUGGAGCGCUUAGAAGUGAGAAUGCCGGUGUGAGUAGCGAAAGACGGGUGAGAAUCCCGUCCACCGAUUGACUAAGGUUUCCAGAGGAAGGCUCGUCCGCUCUGGGUUAGUCGGGUCCUAAGCUGAGGCCGACAGGCGUAGGCGAUGGAUAACAGGUUGAUAUUCCUGUACCACCUAUAAUCGUUUUAAUCGAUGGGGGGACGCAGUAGGAUAGGCGAAGCGUGCGAUUGGAUUGCACGUCUAAGCAGUAAGGCUGAGUAUUAGGCAAAUCCGGUACUCGUUAAGGCUGAGCUGUGAUGGGGAGAAGACAUUGUGUCUUCGAGUCGUUGAUUUCACACUGCCGAGAAAAGCCUCUAGAUAGAAAAUAGGUGCCCGUACCGCAAACCGACACAGGUAGUCAAGAUGAGAAUUCUAAGGUGAGCGAGCGAACUCUCGUUAAGGAACUCGGCAAAAUGACCCCGUAACUUCGGGAGAAGGGGUGCUCUUUAGGGUUAACGCCCAGAAGAGCCGCAGUGAAUAGGCCCAAGCGACUGUUUAUCAAAAACACAGGUCUCUGCUAAACCGUAAGGUGAUGUAUAGGGGCUGACGCCUGCCCGGUGCUGGAAGGUUAAGAGGAGUGGUUAGCUUCUGCGAAGCUACGAAUCGAAGCCCCAGUAAACGGCGGCCGUAACUAUAACGGUCCUAAGGUAGCGAAAUUCCUUGUCGGGUAAGUUCCGACCCGCACGAAAGGCGUAACGAUUUGGGCACUGUCUCAACGAGAGACUCGGUGAAAUCAUAGUACCUGUGAAGAUGCAGGUUACCCGCGACAGGACGGAAAGACCCCGUGGAGCUUUACUGUAGCCUGAUAUUGAAAUUCGGCACAGCUUGUACAGGAUAGGUAGGAGCCUUUGAAACGUGAGCGCUAGCUUACGUGGAGGCGCUGGUGGGAUACUACCCUAGCUGUGUUGGCUUUCUAACCCGCACCACUUAUCGUGGUGGGAGACAGUGUCAGGCGGGCAGUUUGACUGGGGCGGUCGCCUCCUAAAAGGUAACGGAGGCGCUCAAAGGUUCCCUCAGAAUGGUUGGAAAUCAUUCAUAGAGUGUAAAGGCAUAAGGGAGCUUGACUGCGAGACCUACAAGUCGAGCAGGGUCGAAAGACGGACUUAGUGAUCCGGUGGUUCCGCAUGGAAGGGCCAUCGCUCAACGGAUAAAAGCUACCCCGGGGAUAACAGGCUUAUCUCCCCCAAGAGUUCACAUCGACGGGGAGGUUUGGCACCUCGAUGUCGGCUCA